rnacentral:rRNA from 1 species
GACGAACGCUGGCGGCGUGCUUAACACAUGCAAGUCGAACGGAGUGGCGAACGGGUGAGUAACACGUGGGUGACCUGCCCUGCACUUCGGGAUAAGCCUGGGCAACUGGGUCUAAUACCGGAUAGUGUGGGAUGGGCCCGCGGCCUAUCAGCUUGUUGGUGGGGUAAUGGCCUACAAAGGCGGCGACGGGUAGCCGGCCUGAGAGGGUGGAAGGCCACAGUGGGACUGGGACACGGCCCAGGGUGAUAAGGGAGGAAGGAGUGGGGAAUAUUGCACAAUGGGCGGAGGCUUGAUGCAGGGCCGCCGCGUGGGGGAGGACGGUCAUCGGGGUGUAAACUGCUUUCGCUAACGACGCGGUAGAUGGGGAAGAAGCACCGGUUAAUCCCGUGCCAGCGGCCGCGUAAUUC